CGCGGCCUAUCAGCUUGUUGGUGGGGUGAUGGCCUACCAAGGCUGCGACGGGUAGCCGGCCUGAGAGGGUGUUCGGUCACACUGGGACUGAGAUACGGCCCAGACUCCUACGGGAGGCAGCAGUGGGGAAUAUUGCACAAUGGGCGCAAGCCUGAUGCAGCGACGCCGCGUGGGGGAUGACGGCCUUCGGGUUGUAAACCUCCUUCAAUAGGGACGAAGCGCAAGUGACGGUACCUAUAGAAGAAGCACCGGCCAACUACGUGCCAGCAGCCGCGGUAAUACGUAGGGUGCGAGCGUUGUCCGGAAUUACUGGGCGUAAAGAGCUCGUAGGUGGUUUGUCGCGUUGUUCGUGAAAACCGGGGGCUUAACCCUCGGCGUGCGGGCGAUACGGGCAGACUGGAGUACUGCUGGGGAGACUGGAAUUCCUGGUGUAGCGGUGGAAUGCGCAGAUAUCAGGAGGAACACCGGUGGCGAAGGCGGGUCUCUGGGCAGUAACUGACGCUGAGGAGCGAAAGCGUGGGUAGCAAACAGGAUUAGAUACCCUGGUAGUCCACGCCGUAAACGUUGGGCACUAGGUGUGGGUCUCAACCAACGAGAUCCGCGCCGUCGCUAACGCAUUAAGUGCCCCGCCUGGGGAGUACGG
rnacentral:rRNA from 1 species